UGGCUCUCGCAUCGAUGAAGAACGCAGCGAAAUGCGAUAAGUAAUGUGAAUUGCAGAAUUCAGUGAAUCAUCGAAUCUUUGAACGCAUCUUGCGCUCCUUGGUAUUCCGAGGAGCAUGCCUGUUUGAGUGUCAUUAAAUUCUCAACCAAUAUUAGCUUUUGCUGGUUUGGCUUUGGAGGUGGGGGAUUGUUUUGCAGGCUUUCAAAAGUCAGCUCCCCUGAAAUGCAUUAGCAGCGCCCUUGUGGUCGUACAGCUAUUGGUGUGAUAACUAUCUAUGCCAUUAGUUUGAUCACAUACUUUGGGGUUGUGCUGCUUCUAAUCGUCUUCUUUACUAAGACAAUAAAUGACAAUUUUGGCCUCAAAUCAGGUAGGACUACCCGCUGA
rnacentral:misc_RNA from 1 species